rnacentral:rRNA from 1 species
GAUCAUGGCUCAGGAUGAACGCUAGCGACAGGCUUAACACAUGCAAGUCGAGGGGCAGCACGGUGUAGCAAUACACUGGUGGCGACCGGCGCACGGGUGAGUAACACGUGUGCAACCAACCCCGUACCGGGAGAUAACCCGGCGGAAACGUGGACUAACAUCCCAUAAGACUCUAGAGCCGCAUGGCUCUGGAUUUAAAAUUCCGGUGGUACGGGACGGGCACGCGCGACAUUAGGUAGUUGGCGGGGUUAACGG